UACGGAGGGUGCAAGCGUUGUCCGGAAUCACUGGGCGUAAAGGGCGCGUAGGCGGCUCAUGAAGGCUGUGGUGAAAGUCCGGGGCUCAACCUCGGAUCGGCCGUGGCGACUCGUGGGCUGGAGCACUGUAGAGGCGGGUGGAAUUCCGGGUGUAGCGGUGGAAUGCGUAGAGAUCCGGAAGAACACCGACGGCGCAGGCAGCGUCCUGGCCGCUUGCUGACACUGAGGCACGAAGGCUGGGGGAGCAAACAGG
rnacentral:rRNA from 1 species